rfam:Pestalotiopsis fici W106-1 unplaced genomic scaffold PFICI_Scf_3, whole genome shotgun sequence.
GGCAUGUUGCCAGAGUGGUUAAUGGGUGAGACUUGAACUGCAAUGAGCAAUUCAGCCAUCUCAUGGCUUCGGUCGCGUAGGUUCAAAUCCUGCACAUGUCG